UACGUAGGGGGCAAGCGUUGUCCGGAUUUAUUGGGCGUAAAGAGCUCGUAGGCGGUUCCGUAAGUCGUGAAGUCAAAUCUCUGGGCUCAACCCAGAAUCGCUUCCGAUACUGCGGUGACUGGAGUCCGGUAGGGGAGUCUGGAAUUCCUGGUGUAGCGGUGAAAUGCGCAGAUAUCAGGAGGAACACCGGUGGCGAAGGCGGGACUCUGGGCCGAUACUGACGCUGAGGAGCGAAAGCGUGGGGAGCAAACAGG
rnacentral:rRNA from 1 species